rnacentral:rRNA from 1 species
CAGCAGCCGCGGGAAAACGGAGGGUGCAAGCGUUAAUCGGAAUUACUGGGCGUAAAGCGCACGCAGGCGGAUUGUUAAGUCAGAUGUGAAAUCCCCGAGCUUAACUUGGGAACUGCAUUUGAAACUGGCAAGCUAGAGUCUUGUAGAGGGGGGUAGAAUUCCAGGUGUAGCGGUGAAAUGCGUAGAGAUCUGGAGGAAUACCGGUGGCGAAGGCGGCCCCCUGGACAAAGACUGACGCUCAGGUGCGAAAGCGUGGGGAGCAAACAGGAUUAGAUACCCGAGUAGUCCCUGUCUCUUAUAC